GAUGAACGCUAGCGACAGGCCUAACACAUGCAAGUCGAGGGGCAUCGGGGCGUAGCAAUACGCUGCCGGCGACCGGCGGAUGGGUGAGUAACGCGUAUGCAACCUACCUUCAGCAGGGGGAUAGCCCGUUGAAAGACGGAUUAAUACCCCAUAACACAGGGGCUCCGCAUGGAGAUUAUUGUUAAAGGGAUGCUUCCUUCGGGGAGUAUUCCGGCUGCAGAUGGGCAUGCGUUCCAUUAGGUAGUUGGUUGAGGUAACGGCUCACCAAGCCUACGAUGGAUAGGGGAACUGAGAGGUUGGUCCCCCACACUGGUACUGAGACACGGACCAGACUCCUACGGGAGGCAGCAGUGAGGAAUCUUGGUCAAUGGACGGAAGUCUGAACCAGCCAUGUCGCGUGAAGGAGGACGGCCCUAAGGGUUGUAAACUUCUUUUGCAGGGGGAAUAAAAGUAUUCCACGAGAUGGGAGUAAUUCGCAAUAACGCUCGCGAAAUUAAGGAAUCGGCGUAACUUACCCG
rnacentral:rRNA from 1 species